rnacentral:rRNA from 1 species
UGGGGAAUAUUGCACAAUGGGCGCAAGCCUGAUGCAGCCAUGCCGCGUGUAUGAAGAAGGCCUUCGGGUUGUAAAGUACUUUCAGCGGGGAGGAAGGGAGUAAAGUUAAUACCUUUACUCAUUGACGUUACCCGCAGAAGAAGCACCGGCUAACUCCGUGCCAGCAGCCGCGGUAAUACGGAGGGUGCAAGCGUUAAUCGGAAUUACUGGGCGUAAUGCGCACGCAGGCGGUUUGUUAAGUCAGAUGUGAAAUCCCCGGGCUCAACCUGGGAACUGCAUCUGAUACUGGCAAGCUUGAGUCUCGUAGAGGGGGGUAGAAUUCCAGGUGUAGCGGUGAAAUGCGUAGAGAUCUGGAGGAAUACCGGUGGCGAAGGAGGCCCCCUGGACGAAGACUGACGCUCAGGUGCGAAAGCGUGGGGAGCAAACAGG